UCCGGCGAGUCACCUAACUGUCUUUCGACCGAAGCAAUAUCGAUGGCAUAACUGGAUUUAGUAAAGACGAUUCGGAAUCAGUUUCCAGCUUCAUGACAUAUGCAGUUGGUUUGGCAAAAUCUGGUGUUAGCUCGGUAACUACCUAAUGCUUUCUGGAUGCCUUUGUAUCAUUAAAUACAUUCUACUUUGGUGCCGUAUUUGAAAUGAAUUUAUCUCCUUUUCACAUUUAUUGCUUGAAAUUCCAUUAGAGUUGUAAUUUACUAGUUUCCAGAUAAAUUAUUUUAGACAUGUCGAAAUGGAAAAGGUAUGAAAUUAUAAAUCUGAGUGAAUCUGUGAAUGAUAAAUGAAGUGAAAUUAUCUUCUGUAUGCCGCAUUAUCAUUGUGCCUUUGUGAGAAAUGAGAUGAAAUCCUAGGUAAAAGAGAGAACUUCACUUGUAAUUUUUCAAUGUGUUUAUUCAAAUGUAAUGGAAGAUCUACGUGAAAGGGCCAUUAAAAGGGCUUAGCAGUGCAGCUUAAACUGUUUAAGAUAUUCUGCUAGAGCGUGCUGGCUGAUUUUGCACGCAUAUAUAUACAUUCUGGUUAUAGAUAUUGAGUGACCUAUUGUCCAUCCUAUGCCUUUUUCUUUGCUUUUUAUCUUCGAAGAUACUUGUACUUAGGAUUGGUUGUUGGUCUUUUAUAAACUCACUCUUUCAGGUCGUGAAUGCUGCUGUCAUUGUGGAUCCUUCAACUAUGCAGGUCAUAGCAAGCUCACAUGACUAAGUCCUAUCUUGUAAUACUUCCAUAAAAGAAAGCAGCAUGCAACUUUCCAGAAGCAGCUCAAUUUAAUUUCAUCAAAGCCAAAAAUUGUCAGUCAUUUCUUUCAAGAUGUUCAUGUUCAUCCAAGGACACAAAGCAUUCUUACAAUGGUGUUUCUUGUUUACGUCCAUGGAGCUGGUUUGAACAUGAAUUACAUACGUGUUCUGGUUCUUGGCAUCCUUUACAACAUGCUGUGAUUGUAGCAAUUGAAAAUUCUGUCGUGAGGGAUAGGCAUCUUUUUCUGGGGAAUGGACACAGUGCGGAAGAAUAUGUACAAGACGACUAUAAGGUGUCCUUUCCAACAAGUUCUCUUUUGAAAAGACAAAAGAUUAACCUUGCAAAUGUAACUUUGCAUUAUAAAAUGUUAUAUGUCAGAG
rnacentral:lncRNA from 1 species